CGCGACCCCAGGUCAGGCGGGAUUACCCGCUGAGUU
rnacentral:rRNA from 2 species